rnacentral:tRNA from 1 species
GGCGACGUGGCCAAGUGGUAAGGCAUGGGCCUGCAAAGCCCCUACCCCCAGUUCGAAUCUGGGCGUCGCCUCCA